rnacentral:rRNA from 1 species
AUUGAACGCUGGCGGCAGGCUUAACACAUGCAAGUCGAGCGAGCGGCGGACGGGUGAGUAAUGUCUGGGAAACUGCCUGAUGGAGGGGGAUAACUACUGGAAACGGUAGCUACUACCGCAUACCAUCAGAUGUGCCCAGCUGGUAUUGGCUAGUAGGUGGGGUAAUGGCUAACCUAGGCGACGAUCCCUAGCUGGUCUGAGAGGAUGACAAGCCAGACUGGAACUGAUACACGGUCCAGAAUCCUACGGGAGGAAGCAGUGGGGAAUAUGGCACAAUGGGAGCAAGCCGGAGGCAGCCAUGCCGCGUGUGUGAAGAAGGCCUUCGGGUUGUAAAGCACUUUCAGCGAGGAGGCGUUACUCGCAGAAGAAGCACCGGCUAACUCCGUGCCAGCAGCCGCGGUAAUAC